rnacentral:lncRNA from 1 species
UCAGUACUUCAGCUGCUUUCAGCAACUUCACAUUCACAUUCCAGUAAUGGGAGACAGUUAAUUUGGUCCGUUGCGCUGCUUUGAAAAUUUCCACCCUUGACUUGCAAACAAACAAAAACACCAACCUUUAAGCUAAUGUCUUUCCCUGUGUGAAUAUAAUAACUUCUCCCGGUGACAGAAAUUCUGCUGUGAGUAGUGGCAAGCUUUGCUUUGUUGAAGCCUCCUGCAAACCCACAUUGUUUGAAGUCAUUACACACAGAGGAGCUGAAGCCUGGUGUUGUGCUCCAGCAACUGAGUGAGCAACAUGAUGCUGCAGGAAUGAGAUGGAGAGAAGGAGAUGCUGAUGACAGUA